rnacentral:rRNA from 1 species
CACAAUGGGCGAAAGCCUGAUGGAGCAACGCCGCGUGAAGGAUGAAGGCCUUCGGGUUGUAAACUUCUUUUAUGAGUGAAGAAUAUGACGGUAACUCAUGAAUAAGCACCGGCUAACUACGUGCCAGCAGCCGCGGUCAUACGUAGGGUGCAAGCAUUAUCCGGAGUGACUGGGCGUAAAGAGUUGCGUAGGCGGUUUAAUAAGUGAAUAGUGAAACCUGGUGGCUCAACCAUACAGACUAUUAUUCAAACUGUUAAACUCGAGAAUGGUAGAGGUAACUGGAAUUUCUAGUGUAGGAGUGAAAUCCGUAGAUAUUAGAAGGAACACCGAUGGCGUAGGCAGGUUACUGGGCCAUUUCUGACGCUAAGGCACGAAAGCGUGGGGAGCGAACCGGAUUAGAUACCCGGGUAGUCCACGCCGUAAACGAUGGAUACUAGCUGUUGGAGGUAUCGACCCCUUCAGUAGCGAAGCUAACGCGUUAAGUAUCCCGCCUGUGGAGUACGGCCGCAAGGCUAAAACAUAAAGGAAUUGACGGGGACCCGCACAAGCGGUGGAUUAUGUUCUUUAAUUCGAUGAUAACCGAAGAACCUUACCAGGGCUUGACAUCCAGGGAAGGUCUGCGAAAGUAGACUGUGCCUUUUGGAACCCUGUGACAGGUGAUGCAUGGCCGUCGUCAGCUCGUGUCGUGAGAUGUUAGGUUAAGUCCUUCAACGAGCGCAACCCUUGUGAAUAGUUGUAUUUUUCUAUUCAGACUGCCCCGGUAACGGGGAGGAAGGAGGGGAUGAUGUCAGGUCAGUAUUUCCCUUACG